UACGUAGGUGGCAAGCGUUGUCCGGAAUUAUUGGCGUAAAGCGCGCGCAGGCGGUCCUUUAAGUCUGAUGUGAAAGCCCACGGCUCAACCGUGGAGGGUCAUUGGAAACUGGGGGACUUGAGUGCAGAAGAGAAGAGUGGAAUUCCACGUGUAGCGGUGAAAUGCGUAGAGAUGUGGAGGAACACCAGUGGCGAAGGCGACUCUUUGGUCUGUAACUGACGCUGAGGCGCGAAAGCGUGGGGAGCAAACAGG
rnacentral:rRNA from 1 species